rnacentral:lncRNA from 10 species
GGAACUUUAUUUUUAAAGUAUUCUGAAAAUUUUCCAAGAAUUUUAACCACCACCUACUUCCCUUAAACACACACACAUUUUUAUCUUACAAUUAUAACCCCUAUUGCAGUACAAAACAAGAAACAAUAAUUCUAAGUUAGCCAGCCAAUCAAACUACUUCAGUAAAUGAUCAUACUACAGCCUGGAAUCACUCAAACAAAAAAUUCUUCUAGUUCUCUUUAAAGAUAUUUAUCGUUUAUUUUUUCAUGAAACCAAAGUAAUUGAUUCAACAAUACUAACAGUUCUAGCAUGCAACAAACCAUCUACUAUCUAAUGUUUAAUCUUCUUAACAUGUAUAUUUUCAUUCCUAUAAAGUUUCCAUAAGAAGCUUGCAAUGACAAUAAAGGUAAAUAAGUACAGUUGUCCCUUGGUAUCCAUGGGGUAUUGGUUCCUGGACCGUCCCCCCAACCCACAGAUACCAAAAAUCCAAGUAUACUCAAGUCCCUUACAUAAAAUGACAUAUUUGUAUAUAACCAACGCACAUCCGCCUGUAUACUUUAUCCCUAGACUAAUACCUAAUGCAAUGUAAAUGCUAUUUAAAUAACUGUUAUACUGUAUUUUUAUUUGUAUUAUUUUUAUUUUUUCUAAUAUUUUUGAUCUGCAAUUGGUUUAAUCCACAGAUGCAGAGUACAUGGAUACAGAGGGCCAACUGUUUUGUUACAGGUACUUCAAAUAGCACUACAGUACAUCUUUGACAAAAUUUUUACAAUAUUCCACCUUUCAAUAUGAAACAGCUUAAAAAGGCAUGGGUCAAAAAUAAAGUAUAGUAGUAUCACUUACGCAAAUAAAGUCUCAGAAUCAUACAAGCACAACACUGUUAGGACUCUCCCUGUUUAGGCUGGGAAAAACAUUAUACAAAACAUUUUCUUCAAAUAAAAUUACAUAAAUUGCUUAGAAAAAUGCCAAAAUCAAUAAUUUCAAACAUAUUAAGGAGAAAACCUUGAACAUUAUUGGAAAAUAUAAACUAGUUAUUCCUUGCUUUUAACAGAUGAGUUCUUGACAAGUUUUGUGUAAAGCAAAUUCUGUAAACCAUUAUCUUGCUUGCACUGGAGGAACAUAUCUCAAGGAAACCUAAGAGAAAGUGUUCUUUAAAGCAUGUGAUUCUCCUGUUUUUGCUGGAUGUCUGUAUCUACAUAAUAAACAGGCACACUUCUACAUCACUGGGUAUUUUACUCAGACUGUCAUGUUUCAUCUCUGUAAAUUAAACCCAAGUUACUUAAAAAUCACCUGUGGUAAAAGAAGCAAGCAGAUCACCCCCACCUACUAUCCCUCCCGCCUCCCCCCUGUCAAAAGAAAGUUCUCAGUUUAUGAUGCAAAACUUACAAUUGUUCAUUUAUCCACAUUCUCAAUAGAGGAUUUUCCACUAUAUUUAAGUAUGGCAGGAUAAUUACCCACCUGUUCCUCUUUUCAGCUUAGAAACAUAACGGUUCAUUCCUUUUAUUGCUAGAGAAUGUCAUUCCUGAAGAUUUUAUAAACAAAGGCAAAUAUGAAGGAAAAUUUGUAAUUAUGAAAUAAGUCCUUUGUAGUAAAGAAUAUUUCCCAAAUCAUAACAGUUCUAUUUGGAAUGAUACCCACAACUCUACAAGCAUCUUAUCCCUCUACAGGAAUGACUACCUUAUUAAUUAAAAUAAAAAUUUAACAAGCAUCAAAAUAAAAUUCUUUAGCAAUAGACUCCUGCAAAAAUAAAAACUAAAA